GACGAGCCACACAAACGUUAUUCGGAAUUACUGGGCUUAAAGGGUGCGUAGGCGGCGCGGAAAGUUAGGUGUGAAAUCCCUCGGCUCAACCGAGGAAUUGCGCUCAAAACUACCGUGCUCGAGGGAGAUAGUGGAGUGCGGAACUUACGGUGGAGCGGUGAAAUGCGUUGAUAUCGUAGGGAACACCGGUGGCGAAAGCGGCACUCUGGAUCUCAUCUGACGCUGAUGCACGAAAGCUAGGGUAGCAAACGGG
rnacentral:rRNA from 1 species